GCUUACGGCCAUACCACCCUGAACACGCCCGAUCUCGGUCCGAUCUCGGAAGCUAAGCAGGUCGGGCCUGGUUAGUACUUGGAUGGGAGACCGCCUGGGAAUACCAGGUGCUGUAAGCU
rnacentral:rRNA from 1 species